rnacentral:rRNA from 1 species
UACAGAGGUCUCAAGCGUUGUUCGGAUUUAUUGGGCGUAAAGCGCUUGUAGGCGGUCUGUUAAGUCCUGUGUGGAAGCCCUUGGCUUAACCAAGGAAGUGCGCAGGAAACUGGCGGACUUGAGUGCCGGAGAGGGUCGCGGAAUUCCCGGUGUAGAGGUGAAAUUCGUAGAUAUCGGGAGGAACAUCAGUGGCGAAGGCGGCGACCUGGACGGACACUGACGCUGAGACGCGAAAGCGUGGGGAGCAAACAGG